rnacentral:rRNA from 1 species
GGGUGGUAAUACCGGAUGCUCCGCUCCAUCGCAUGGUGGGGUGGGAAAUGCUUUUGCGGCAUGGGAUGGGGUCGCGUCCUAUCAGCUUGUUGGCGGGGUGAUGGCCCACCAAGGCGUUGACGGGUAGCCGGCCUGAGAGGGUGACCGGCCACAUUGGGACUGAGAUACGGCCCAGACUCCUACGGGAGGCAGCAGUGGGGAAUAUUGCACAAUGGGCGCAAGCCUGAUGCAGCGACGCCGCGUGCGGGAUGGAGGCCUUCGGGUUGUAAACCGCUUUUGUUCAAGGGCAAGGCACGGUUUCGGCCGUGUUGAGUGGAUUGUUCGAAUAAGCACCGGCUAACUACGUGCCAGCAGCCGCGGUAAUACGUAGGGUGCGAGCGUUAUCCGGAUUUAUUGGGCGUAAAGGGCUCGUAGGCGGUUCGUCGCGUCCGGUGUGAAAGUCCAUCGCCUAACGGUGGAUCUGCGCCGGGUACGGGCGGGCUGGAGUGCGGUAGGGGAGACUGGAAUUCCCGGUGUAACGGUGGAAUGUGUAGAUAUCGGAAA